rnacentral:rRNA from 1 species
UACAGAGGUCUCAAGCGUUGUUCGGAUUCAUUGGGCGUAAAGGGUGCGUAGGUGGCGCGGUAAGUCGGGUGUGAAAUUUCGGAGCUUAACUCCGAAACUGCAUUCGAUACUGCCGUGCUUGAGGACUGGAGAGGAGACUGGAAUUUACGGUGUAGCAGUGAAAUGCGUAGAGAUCGUAAGGAAGACCAGUGGCGAAGGCGGGUCUCUGGACAGUUCCUGACACUGAGGUACGAAAGCUAGGGGAGCAAACAGG